rnacentral:rRNA from 1 species
UACGUAGGCAGCGAGCGUUGUUCGGAGUUACUGGGCGUAAAGGGUGUGUAGGCGGUUGUUUAAGUUUGGUGCGAAAUCUCCCGGCUCAACUGGGAGGGUGCGCCGAAUACUGAAUGACUUGGAGUGCGGGAGAGGAGAGUGGAAUUCCUGGUGUAGCGGUGAAAUGCGUAGAUAUCAGGAGGAACACCGGUGGUGUAGACGGCUCUCUGGACCGUAACUGACGCUGAGACACGAAAGCGUGGGUAGCAAACAGG